CCAAGGAGUCUAACAUGUGCGCGAGUCAUUGGGACGAGCAAACCUAAAGGCGAAAUGAAAGUAAAGGUCGGCCCAGCGCCGACCGAGGGAGGAUGGGUCGCGUCACGAUGCGACCCCGCACUCCCGGGGCGUCUCGUUCUCAUUGCGAGAAGAGGCGCACCCAGAGCGUACACGUUGGGACCCGAAAGAUGGUGAACUAUGCCUGGUCAGGACGAAGUCAGGGGAAACCCUGAUGGAGGUCCGUAGCGAUUCUGACGUGCAAAUCGAUCGUCGGAACUGGGUAUAGGGGCGAAAGACUAAUCGAACCAUCUAGUAGCUGGUUCCCUCCGAAGUUUCCCUCAGGAUAGCUGGCACUCGCGUACAAAACGUACACGAGUCUCAUCCGGUAAAGCGAAUGAUUAGAGGCCUUGGGGCCGAAACGACCUCAACCUAUUCUCAAACUUUAAAUGGGUGAGAUCUCUGGCUUGCUUGAACUAUGAAGCCACGAGAUCUCGGAUCAGAGUGCCAAGUGGGCCACUUUU
rnacentral:rRNA from 1 species